CCUACGGGAGGCAGCAGUGAGGAAUAUUGGUCAAUGGGCGCGAGCCUGAACCAGCCAAGUCGCGUGAAGGAUGACUGCUCUAUGGGUUGUAAACUUCUUUUAUAUGGGAAUAAAGUGAGGAACGUGUGCCUUUUUGUAUGUACCAUAUGAAUAAGCAUCGGCUAACUCCGUGCCAGCAGCCGCGGUAAUACGGAGGAUGCGAGCGUUAUCCGGAUUUAUUGGGUUUAAAGGGAGCGUAGGUGGGUAGUUAAGUCAGCGGUGAAAGUUUGUGGCUCAACCGUAAAAUUGCAGUUGAUACUGGUUGUCUUGAGUACAGUUGAGGUAGGCGGAAUGCGUGGUGUAGCGGUGAAAUGCAUAGAUAUCACGAAGAACUCCGAUUGCGAAGGCAGCUUACUAAACUAUAACUGACACUGAAGCACGAAAGCGUGGGGAUCAAACAGGAUUAGAUACCCGAGUAGUC
rnacentral:rRNA from 1 species